GAUGAACGCUGGCGGCGUGCCUAAUACAUGCAAGUCGAGCGAACAGACGAGGAGCUUGCUCCUCUGACGUUAGCGGCGGACGGGUGAGUAACACGUGGAUAACCUACCUAUAAGACUGGGAUAACUUCGGGAAACCGGAGCUAAUACCGGAUAAUAUAUUGAACCGCAUGGUUCAAUAGUGAAAGACGGUUUUGCUGUCACUUAUAGAUGGAUCCGCGCCGCAUUAGCUAGUUGGUAAGGUAACGGCUUACCAAGGCGACGAUGCGUAGCCGACCUGAGAGGGUGAGCGGCCACACUGGAACUGAGACACGGUCCAGGCUCCUACGGGAGGCAGCAGUCGGGAAUCUUCCGCAAUGGGCGAAAGCCUGGCGGAGCAACGCCGCGUGAGUGAUGAAGGUCUUCGGAUCGUAACACUCUGUUAUUAGGGAAGAACAAAUGUGUAAGUGACUAUGCACGUCUUGACGGUACCUAAUCAGAAAGCCACGGCUAACUACGUG
rnacentral:rRNA from 1 species